AGCGUACACGGUGGAUGCCCUGGCAGUCAGAGGCGAUGAAGGACGUGCUAAUCUGCGAUAAGCGUCGGUAAGGUGAUAUGAACCGUUAUAACCGGCGAUUUCCGAAUGGGGAAACCCAGUGUGUUUCGACACACUAUCAUUAACUGAAUCCAUAGGUUAAUGAGGCGAACCGGGGGAACUGAAACAUCUAAGUACCCCGAGGAAAAGAAAUCAACCGAGAUUCCCCCAGUAGCGGCGAGCGAACGGGGAGCAGCCCAGAGCCUGAAUCAGUGUGUGUGUUAGUGGAAGCGUCUGGAAAGGCGCGCGAUACAGGGUGACAGCCCCGUACACAAAAAUGCACAUACUGUGAGCUCGAUGAGUAGGGCGGGACACGUGGUAUCCUGUCUGAAUAUGGGGGGACCAUCCUCCAAGGCUAAAUACUCCUGACUGACCGAUAGUGAACCAGUACCGUGAGGGAAAGGCGAAAAGAACCCCGGCGAGGGGAGUGAAAAAGAACCUGAAACCGUGUACGUACAAGCAGUGGGAGCACGCUUCGGCGUGUGACUGCGUACCUUUUGUAUAAUGGGUCAGCGACUUAUAUUCUGUAGCAAGGUUAACCGAAUAGGGGAGCCGAAGGGAAACCGAGUCUUAACUGGGCGUUAAGUUGCAGGGUAUAGACCCGAAACCCGGUGAUCUAGCCAUGGGCAGGUUGAAGGUUGGGUAACACUAACUGGAGGACCGAACCGACUAAUGUUGAAAAAUUAGCGGAUGACUUGUGGCUGGGGGUGAAAGGCCAAUCAAACCGGGAGAUAGCUGGUUCUCCCCGAAAGCUAUUUAGGUAGCGCCUCGUGAAUUCAUCUCCGGGGGUAGAGCACUGUUUCGGCAAGGGGGUCAUCCCGACUUACCAACCCGAUGCAAACUGCGAAUACCGGAGAAUGUUAUCACGGGAGACACACGGCGGGUGCUAACGUCCGUCGUGAAGAGGGAAACAACCCAGACCGCCAGCUAAGGUCCCAAAGUCAUGGUUAAGUGGGAAACGAUGUGGGAAGGCCCAGACAGCCAGGAUGUUGGCUUAGAAGCAGCCAUCAUUUAAAGAAAGCGUAAUAGCUCACUGGUCGAGUCGGCCUGCGCGGAAGAUGUAACGGGGCUAAACCAUGCACCGAAGCUGCGGCAGCGACACUAUGUGUUGUUGGGUAGGGGAGCGUUCUGUAAGCCUGUGAAGGUGUACUGUGAGGUAUGCUGGAGGUAUCAGAAGUGCGAAUGCUGACAUAAGUAACGAUAAAGCGGGUGAAAAGCCCGCUCGCCGGAAGACCAAGGGUUCCUGUCCAACGUUAAUCGGGGCAGGGUGAGUCGACCCCUAAGGCGAGGCCGAAAGGCGUAGUCGAUGGGAAACAGGUUAAUAUUCCUGUACUUGGUGUUACUGCGAAGGGGGGACGGAGAAGGCUAUGUUGGCCGGGCGACGGUUGUCCCGGUUUAAGCGUGUAGGCUGGUUUUCCAGGCAAAUCCGGAAAAUCAAGGCUGAGGCGUGAUGACGAGGCACUACGGUGCUGAAGCAACAAAUGCCCUGCUUCCAGGAAAAGCCUCUAAGCAUCAGGUAACAUUAAAUCGUACCCCAAACCGACACAGGUGGUCAGGUAGAGAAUACCAAGGCGCUUGAGAGAACUCGGGUGAAGGAACUAGGCAAAAUGGUGCCGUAACUUCGGGAGAAGGCACGCUGAUAUGUAGGUGAAGUCCCUCGCGGAUGGAGCUGAAAUCAGUCGAAGAUACCAGCUGGCUGCAACUGUUUAUUAAAAACACAGCACUGUGCAAACACGAAAGUGGACGUAUACGGUGUGACGCCUGCCCGGUGCCGGAAGGUUAAUUGAUGGGGUUAGCGGUAACGCGAAGCUCUUGAUCGAAGCCCCGGUAAACGGCGGCCGUAACUAUAACGGUCCUAAGGUAGCGAAAUUCCUUGUCGGGUAAGUUCCGACCUGCACGAAUGGCGUAAUGAUGGCCAGGCUGUCUCCACCCGAGACUCAGUGAAAUUGAACUCGCUGUGAAGAUGCAGUGUACCCGCGGCAAGACGGAAAGACCCCGUGAACCUUUACUAUAGCUUGACACUGAACAUUGAGCCUUGAUGUGUAGGAUAGGUGGGAGGCUUUGAAGUGUGGACGCCAGUCUGCAUGGAGCCGACCUUGAAAUACCACCCUUUAAUGUUUGAUGUUCUAACGUUGACCCGUGAUCCGGGUUGCGGACAGUGUCUGGUGGGUAGUUUGACUGGGGCGGUCUCCUCCUAAAGAGUAACGGAGGAGCACGAAGGUUGGCUAAUCCUGGUCGGACAUCAGGAGGUUAGUGCAAUGGCAUAAGCCAGCUUGACUGCGAGCGUGACGGCGCGAGCAGGUGCGAAAGCAGGUCAUAGUGAUCCGGUGGUUCUGAAUGGAAGGGCCAUCGCUCAACGGAUAAAAGGUACUCCGGGGAUAACAGGCUGAUACCGCCCAAGAGUUCAUAUCGACGGCGGUGUUUGGCACCUCGAUGUCGGCUCAUCACAUCCUGGGGCUGAAGUAGGUCCCAAGGGUAUGGCUGUUCGCCAUUUAAAGUGGUACGCGAGCUGGGUUUAGAACGUCGUGAGACAGUUCGGUCCCUAUCUGCCGUGGGCGCUGGAGAACUGAGGGGGGCUGCUCCUAGUACGAGAGGACCGGAGUGGACGCAUCACUGGUGUUCGGGUUGUCAUGCCAAUGGCACUGCCCGGUAGCUAAAUGCGGAAGAGAUAAGUGCUGAAAGCAUCUAAGCACGAAACUUGCCCCGAGAUGAGUUCUCCCUGACUCCUUGA
rnacentral:rRNA from 1 species